GGACAAGAGGCAAGAGAAGUGCAAGAACACUUCGAAACAGUAGGAAGAGCAGCCAACUAUGCCCCUAUACGUGGAGAUCCCUAGGAGAUUCUGGGGAGAGAGAAGGGAACUUGAUGGCUGACUCUGGCAUCCACAUCUUUUCUUCCUACUUCAAAGAGCAACAAUCCCUGAGGUUGGAAGAUCAGGAUAUUCGCUAUCUGAAGGAACC